UUGGGUUCGUUCGUGCGAGCGAGCAAGGCGAGCGAGCAAGCGAGCGAGUCAAGUGCGCGCGUCGUAGUAGGGCCGUCGGAGGUCGGGCGAGCGCGGAAUUUCUUCUCCUAUUGACUUCUCGCUGUCGUGGAUUAACGGUUGAGGUGGGUUUAUCGUCGGAAUCCUACUCCUAUAGUAUUGUUGGUCGACAUGUAUCGUUAAUAUUAUACGUUGUUAUUGUUUAACUCAAAUUCAUGAGUAGGUAUGUGUUAGACAUAUAAACUAAAUUGGGAGCAUGUUAUUAGUUGUUAUUAAUCAUACAUGUGGGACUUAGAUAAAACAUAGGAGAAAACCAGCGUUCGGGAUCUGGCAUAUGUUGAACUACCUGAUUUAGCCCUAGGAGUCGUUGUAUUUUUAUACUGUUGCAGUAUCCUCAUAGUGAGUAUCCCAGAUAGUUUAAAUUUCAGUUACGCUCGUGCUGGGAUGCCGAGCCGAUUUUACAGUAGUGUUUACAGUGUUCCGGAUUAGUGGGUGCCGUAGUGGUUGACGACGGACCCGAAUUUGAUCGUUCCGAUAUCAGAUUGUGCCGAGAGCACGUGACUAGGGGUUGGUAGCACUGUUAGACCUAUUUUCUUGACUUUAGCCUGUGAGUGCCUGAUUGAGCUCGACAGAGAUACGCUUGCAUACUCGGUUGGGUCGCGCCCACGAGUACCGCUCCGGAGUCCGGCUAUGUGCUUUCGCAUUGAUGUCGCUGAUUAGUUGCUAUCCACGGACUGUUUAGCGUGGAAGUAGCGCGGCUUAGACAGGCGGGACGGGUGCGUACACAGUCCCUAAUGAGAUUGGGUUAGAAUUGAUAGUAGACAUAGUGGGAUAGUGUAGUGGCAUGUAGCUGUGGAUUUUUUUUCGGGUUUACCUUUUAGCCUUAUUUCCUAUUGUAAUCUUAGUGGGUGAGCCGAUGAGUUUGAGGGCGGUACCUACUGAGGACUACUUGUUUUACAGUAGUUCUCACGCCCAGUUGUUACCCUGUGUUUUGCAGAGCCUGCUGUUCCGGCUCCUGCGUCUUCAGAGGCGGAUCGAGGCAAGGGCGUCGCGAGCUAGAGCCCUACCCGACGAAGCGCCGUGCUAGAGGAUCACCAGCUGUAGGUAGUAGUAUUUUUAUUUUGAGCUUAUGUACAUACUGAUGCUAGAACUCGCUGGAGCGAGUGUUUUUGUACUUGUUAGUUUGUAUGUAUAUGAGAUUUGUUCGUUCUACCUGCUUAGUUCUCUUCAGCUCUACACUACUGUUUGUAGUUUUGUAUAUUUUACUGAGACGGCUAUCGCUUCGUAUAAAGAAAAAAUUUCUUCGUAUACGACGGAUUUGUCGGCGUGCCC
rnacentral:lncRNA from 1 species